AGGAGCCGUAUGCAGUAGUUCUGCACGUACGGAUCUGUGCGGGGGGCGGUGGGUAACCACCGUCCCUACCGCGAC
rnacentral:ncRNA from 3 species